GACGAACGCCGGCGGCAGGCCUAACACAUGCAAGUCGGGCGGUAACACAGGGAGCUUGCUCCUGGGUGACGAGCGGCGGACGGGUGAGUAAUGUCUGGGAAACUGCCUGAUGGAGGGGGAUAACUACUGGAAACGGUAGCUAAUACCGCAUAACGUCGCAAGACCAAAGAGGGGGACCUUCGGGCCUCUUGCCAUCAGAUGUGCCCAGAUGGGAUUAGCUAGUAGGUGGGGUAACGGCUCACCUAGGCGACGAUCCCUAGCUGGUCUGAGAGGAUGAACAGCCACACUGGAACUGAGACACGGUCCAGACUCCUACGGGAGGCAGCAGUGGGGAAUAUUGGACAAUGGGGGGAGCCCUGAUCCAGCCAUGCCGCGUGUGUGAAGAAGGCCUUAUGGUUGUAAAGCACUUUAAGCGAGGAGGAGGCUACUGAGACUAAUACUCUUGGAUAGUGGACGUUACUCGCAGGAUAAGCACCGGCUAACUCUGUGCCAGCCGCCGCCGUAAUAC
rnacentral:rRNA from 1 species